AGACGUUCUCAGGGCGGGGUGCAAUUCCCCACCGGCGGUGUUUGCGUUUCGGCGCAUCAGCCCGCGAGCGCUUGUCUCUUCGGAGGCAGGGUCAGCAGACUCGGUUCAAUUCCGAGGCCGACGGUAUAGUCCGGAUGGAAGAGAACACAU
rnacentral:ncRNA from 2 species